rnacentral:lncRNA from 1 species
CGAGUGCACACUCAGGGAAGAGCACACUCAGGGGAGCGCACAAUCAGGGGAGCGCACACUCGGGGGAGUGUACACUCAGGAAAGUGCACACUCAAGAGAGCACACAUUCAGGGGAGUGGACACUCAGGGGAGUGCACACUCAGGGGAGUGCACACUCAGGGGAGCGUGCACUCAGGAGCUCACACUCAGACAAACACACACAGAGGACAGCACACGUAGGGGAGCAUGCACUCAGGGGAGCGCACACUCAGGGGAGCGCACACUCAGGGGAGUGCACACUCGGGGGAGCGCACACUCAGAUGAGCGUGCACUCAGGGGAGCAUGCACACAGAUGAGCACACACUCAGAGGAGAUCGCACUCAGACGAGUGCACACUCAGGGGAGCGCACACUCAGGGGAGUGCACACUCGGGGGAGCGCACACUCAGGGGAGUGCACACUUGGGGGAGCGCACACUCGGGCGAGUGCACACUCAGGGGAGUGACACUCAGGGGAGCGCACACUCACAUGUGUGUACACUCAGGGGAGCACGCACUCAGAUGAUCACACACUCAGAGGAGGUCACUCUCAGACGAGUGCACACUCGGGUGAGCGCACACUCGGGAAAGUGCACACUCAAGUGAGCGCACACUCAGGGGAGUGGACACUCAGGGGAGUGCACACUCAGGGGAGCGUGCACUCAGGAGCUCACACUCAGACGAACACACACUCAGAGGACAGCACACCCAGGGGAGCAUGCACUCAGGGGAGCGCACACUCAGGGGAGCGCACACUCAGGGGAGUGCACACUCAGGGGAGCGCACACUCAGAUGAGCGUGCACUCAGGGGAGUAUGCACACAGAUGAGCACACACUCAGAGGAGAUCACACUCAGACGAGCACACACUUGGGGGAGCGCACACUCAGGAGAGUGCACACUCGGGGGAGCGUGCACUCAGGAGCUCACACUCAGACGAACACACACUCGGGGGAGCGCACACUCAGGAGAGUGCACACUCAGGGGAGUGCACACUCAGGGGAGCGCACACUCACAUGUGCGUGCACUCAGGGGAGCAUGCACUCAGAUGAUCAUACACUCAGAAGAGAUCACACUCAGACGAGUGCACACUCAGGUGAGUGCACACACAGGAAAGUGCACACUCAAGAGAGUGCACACUCAGGGGAGUGGACACUCGGGGAAGCACACACUCAGGGGAGUGCACACUCGGGAGCUCACACUCAGACGAACACACACUCAGAGGAGUGCGCACUCAGGGGAGUGCACACUCAGGAGAGCGCACACUCAGGGGAGUGCACGCUCUGGAGCACACACUCAAGGGAGCGCAUCUAUACUAAAAAUACAAAAAUUAGCCAGGUGGUGGCACGCACCUGUAAUCCCAGCUACUCAGGAGACUGAGGCAACAGAAUCACUUGAGCCCCGGAGGCAAAGGCUGUGGCAAGCCAGUUUUCCAUCUUCCUACUCACCCUCUCCUCCAUAAAAUUUUCUUCAAAUUUUUUUCAGACUUUACUACUAACUAAAUUCUUCCUAUAAAAUUAUCUCUCCUACCUUUACAUUAACUGAAACUUGGUAAAUGCCUGCUUGUAUUGUAGCGUUCUCACAUUUUCUGACAAUCAUAGUUGUGACUAAAAGAAUUGGUAUUCUAGUUCUUGAUGAUCCUUUCAGAUUAUAGUCAUUUUCAAUCACUAUUUUACCAAAUUCU